rnacentral:tmRNA from 1 species
GGGGGCGAAAUGGUUUCGACGGGAUAUUUGUUUUGCGAGAAGCGAGCCGGGAGUGCCUGCCUUCCCGUGAAAAAGGCGGGAAUGACAAUAAACGUCAAUCCUGAAUACGCACUCGCUGCUUAAUAGAUAAGCGGCCGCCCCUGUGUCUUUCGUCCGGAGGGACACAGAAGGGCGUCAAAGAUCCGGGCUUCCCUGUAUGGGUUCGUUCUCGCCCAUACGGGUAGAUUUAGAGAACUUUGCCGGAUGAUCCGUGCCUGUGCGGUCCAUCCGGUGAGCACAAGCACAGGCUGCGCUCGGAGAUGCUCGCAGGGCAAGUAUUUCGGACGUGGGUUCGAUUCCCAUCGCCUCCACCA